rnacentral:rRNA from 1 species
CACGUAGGGCGCAAGCGUUGUCCGGAAUUAUUGGGCGUAAAGAGCUCGUAGGCGGCUUGUCGCGUCGACUGUGAAAUCCCGCGGCUCAACUGCGGGUCUGCAGUCGAUACGGGCAGGCUAGAGUUCGGUAGGGGAGACUGGAAUUCCUGGUGUAGCGGUGAAAUGCGCAGAUAUCAGGAGGAACACCGGUGGCGAAGGCGGGUCUCUGGGCCGAUACUGACGCUGAGGAGCGAAAGCGUGGGGAGCGAACAGG